UCUUUUCAGGGAUUAAGAAUGAGGAAUGUUACCAAUAGAGCAGCAUGGUCUUAAAUCCAUUUUUUUUGGAAUGGAGUUGUUCAAAGACUAUAGUCAUUUCUAAAAGUUGUUCUCAAUUGGGAUAAUAGCAUGAAUUUUAUUAAGUCCCUGGACAUUCAAAUGGAGGACUAAGGUUGGGAGUAGGGAUGGGAGGGGUAGAAAAAGCUCCAAGAUCUAGUGAGAGGGGUAUUGAGAGAAGAUGCUGGUAGACCUACUGGGUGCUGGUAACUCAGCUAGGGUCGUUGGGGCAUAUUUAUGGAGCUGCCUUAUUCUGGCUAAUGUUCCUUUAUCCACUCAAACAUUUUCUGAUACUCCCUUCCAAAAGUGAUCUUUCUCACCUCUAAUAGACUCUUCUAGCAUUUCACCUAAUAUUGGAGAGGCACCCAUUUGGUCAUCCUUUUAUAUAAAGCACAUAGCUUUUGUUUGCUAUAGGCCACUUCAGGUUUGGAUUUUAUAGUAUGUGAUAUGCAGUAUACAGAUGUUCUAUAGGUAUUUCUUGGCUGAAUGGAUUUUCUUUACUAUAUUGAACAUGUUAAAGGUUUUUGGUUGAAUGAC
rnacentral:lncRNA from 1 species